rnacentral:rRNA from 1 species
GACGAACGCUGGCGGCGUGCUUAACACAUGCAAGUCGAACGGAAAGGCCCUGCUUUUGUGGGGUGCUCGAGUGGCGAACGGGUGAGUAACACGUGAGUAACCUGGCCUUGACUUUGGGAUAACUUCAGGAAACUGGGGCUAAUACCGGAUAGGAGCUCCUGCUGCAUGGUGGGGGUUGGAAAGUUUCGGCGGUUGGGGAUGGACUCGCGGCUUAUCAGCUUGUUGGUGGGGUAGUGGCUUACCAAGGCUUUGACGGGUAGCCGGCCUGAGAGGGUGACCGGCCACAUUGGGACUGAGAUACGGCCCAGACUCCUACGGGAGGCAGCAGUGGGGAAUAUUGCACAAUGGGCGGAAGCCUGAUGCAGCAACGCCGCGUGCAGGAUGACGGCCUUCGGGUUGUAAACCGCUUUCGCCUGUGACGAAGCGUGAGUGACGGUAAUGGGUAAAGAAGCACCGGCUAACUACGUG